rnacentral:lncRNA from 11 species
CCAGAUUAGAAUUAACUCACCAAAGGCAGUUCGAUCAUUAAAUCCUCGUAUCGCAUAAGCCAUUAUUAUUAAUAUCAACAUCAUCAUCAUCAUCAUCAUCAUCAUCAUUAUUAUUAUUAUUAUUUUCCUGGAUGAAGUCUACUAGUACUACUAUUAUUAUUAUUGAUAUUAUUAUGAGCAUUGUAUUAUGAGUAAUAUUGAUGAUAAUAAUAGGUUGGACUGGAUGUCCCUUGUGGGUCUCUUCCAACUAACUCUAGGGUGUUGUUGUUGUUGUUGUUGUUGUUCUCGUCCCCUCUUACAGGCCGUGAGCCCCCCGCCCAGCUCCAACGGCGAGGGUCCGGAGGGGAGGCCGGGGGUCGGGCCGGAUCUUGGGGCGGACACAAGGGGUUGGUGGCGCGCCCCUCUCCACAUCUGCUGCCGGGGCCCCUGAAGAACGUGGUGCCGCUCCACCUGCUGAGCACCACCACCAGACCCAGACGCAGGCCGCCGGCCAGGCCAGACCCCCACCAAGAUGGCCGCCCCCACCCCUCCGGUGAGCCCAGACCCCCCCUCCUUCCGGGGUCACCUCGGGAGGCCUGCUUCCUUGGCCGCCUCGUGGAGGAGAGUGCACACUCGACUGACGGGCGCUGUGUUGUGUCUCCCGUGUGCCCUUGCAGCCACAACCUCGUGCAGACGUGCUGGCAGGACAACCCCACGGUGCGCCCCUCCCUCCCUCCCCGAGGACCUCCACCCCACUUCCUGUGAGGCCUCCUUCCUGGACAGCGAGGAGGAGAACAAGCCGCCGGAGACGGAGGAGGACGAGCUGGACUCUGGGAACACGGAGAGCCUCCUCCCGCUGGACCAGGCCUCCGACACGCAGCGGGACGAGACCCUGGGCCUGGAAGAGACGGAACUCUGGGGAGACCCUCCCGGGCGCCCUGGCACGUGGACGGGCAGAAGGACAAUGGGCGCCUCUCCCUUCGGGCUGAGGGUCUGGCUUUGGCCUCCAUUGUCGCCGUCCUUCCCGUCAGAACCGGCUUCUUGGCCUCAGACUUCGGUGGAGGUGGAUGCGUGUCCGUGGGGAAGGGGAGAGCGCCGCCUCUCGACUCGCCUCCCUCGGUGGGCCUGGAAGAGAGGGAACUCUGGGGAGCAGACCCCUGGCGCCCUGGCACGUGGACGGACAGACGGGGCAGGAAGCACAACGGGCGCCCCCUCCUCUCCGUGCCCCCUCCAGCCCCCCCUCACCCCCCACCGCCCCCCUCCUCUCCAUGCCCCGCCCCAGCCCCCCCUCGUCGUCCGUCCAUCCGUCCAUCCACAGGGACCUGGCGGAGGAAGCGCAUGGCGGCAGAAGACGUCAUCGUCCCCAUCGGAGCCACAACCUGGUGCAGACGUGCUGGCAGGACAACCCCACGGUGCGCCCCUCCCUCCCUCCCCGAGGACCUCCACCCCACUUCCCGCGAGGCCUCCUUCCUGGACAGCGAGGAGGAGAACAAGCUGCCGGAGACGGAGGAGGACGAGCUGGACUCUGGGAACACGGAGAGCCUCCUCCCGCUGGACCCGGCCUCCAACACGCAGCGGGACGAGACCCUGGGCCUGGAAGAGACGGAACUCUGGGGAGACCCUCCCGGGCGCCCUGGCACGUGGACGGACGGACAGACGGGGCAGGAAGCACAACGGGCGCCCCCUCCUCUCCGUGCCCCGCUCCAGCCCCCCUCACCCCCCCCCCCUUCUCGACGUCCGUCUCAGGACUCACAGGAUUGCGGACACAGAGUGUGUGAGGAGACAGAGUGGACUCGCUUUCUCGUCAGAUUUUUGAAGUGGGGGCAAAGGGGGGCUGGAUGUCCUCGCGUGUUCCUGCCGCCGCGUGUUGUCGUCCCCUCGGUGCAAAAAGGGGCCGAAUGUCGUCUGCCUGCGACACACACUGGGAACCCUUGAGCGGAAAGUCGGGGGUUAUGGGCCCAGGAACGAGGGGGAAACGCCUCUCGAAGGCCCCGACCCCUUCGUGCCCUGGUUGUUGUUUCCGGGACGGAGGGGGCGGCAGAGGGGGAGGGACAGGCACCGCUGGAGGGAUUUCCGUUCAUUGCGUUUUCUUGUCGUUGCUUCGAUGUCACGAGCCAAGCCGUGACGUGUUCAGAGAGUCUCUACUGCUCUUUAUACAGACAUAUCUAUGUAUAUAUAUAUAUAUAUAAAUUUUUAAAAUUGCUGUGUGUAAAUAUUGGACUAUUAACUGUUUAUAUUAGGGAAGAAAAUUCUGAAUAAAUUAAUUAAUUAAUAUUCUCAGAUUUGAACACCCAUC